rnacentral:rRNA from 1 species
UACUUGUACCUGGUGGCGAGCGGCGGACGGGUGAGUAAUGCCUAGGAAUCUGCCUGGUAGUGGGGGAUAACGCUCGGAAACGGACGCUAAUACCGCAUACGUCCUACGGGAGAAAGCAGGGGACCUUCGGGCCUUGCGCUAUCAGAUGAGCCUAGGUCGGAUUAGCUAGUUGGUGAGGUAAUGGCUCACCAAGGCGACGAUCCGUAACUGGUCUGAGAGGAUGAUCAGUCACACUGGAACUGAGACACGGUCCAGACUCCUACGGGAGGCAGCAGUGGGGAAUAUUGGACAAUGGGCGAAAGCCUGAUCCAGCCAUGCCGCGUGUGUGAAGAAGGUCUUCGGAUUGUAAAGCACUUUAAGUUGGGAGGAAGGGCAUUUACCUAAUACGUAAGUGUUUUGACGUUACCGACAGAAUAAGCACCGGCUAACUCUGUGCCAGCAGCCGCGGUAAUACAGAGGGUGCAAGCGUUAAUCGGAAUUACUGGGCGUAAAGCGCGCGUAGGUGGUUCGUUAAGUUGGAUGUGAAAUCCCCGGGCUCAACCUGGGAACUGCAUUCAAAACUGUCGAGCUACAGUAUGGUAGAGGGUGGUGGAAUUUCCUGUGUUACCGCUGAA